rnacentral:tRNA from 1 species
UCCCUAGUGGCUCAAACGGUAAAGAAUCUGCCUGCAAUGUGGAAGACCCAGGUUUGAUUCCUGGAUAGGGAA